UUGGGUUAAAGAUGGGGUUAGGUUGGGUUAAAGAUGGGGUUAGGUUGGGUUAGAGAUGGGGUUAGGUUGGGUUAGAGAUGGGGUUAGGUUUGAGCCAGCAUGUGGAUGGAUCUGAGUCUAAGGAUAUAUUAGAGAUGGGGUUAGGUUGGGUUAGAGAUGGGGUUAGGUUGGGUUAAAGAUGGGGUUAGGUUUGAGCCAGCAUGUGGAUGGAUCUGAGUCUAAGGAUAUAUUAGAGAUGGGGUUAGGUUGGGUUAAAGAUGGGGUUAGGUUUGAGCCAGCAUGUGGAUGGAUCUGAGUCUAAGGAUAUAUUAGAGAUGGGGUUAGGUUGGGUUAGAGAUGGGGUUAGGUUGGUUUAAAGAUGGGGUUAGGUUUGAGCCAGCAUGUGGAUGGAUCUGAGUCUAAGGAUAUAUUAGAGAUGGGGUUAGGUUGGGUUAGAGAUGGGGUUAGGUUGGGUUAAAGAUGGGGUUAGGUUUGAGCCAGCAUGUGGAUGGAUCUGAGUCUAAGGAUAUAUUUGAGUCUAAGUGUAACGGUUUUCCUCCUGGGAAGGAGAGGACCAAAAUGCAGCGUGGUUAUUGUUAAGCAUCUUAAAUAAAGACGAAAACGUAAACACUAUACAAAUAAAACAUAAGAAACCGUGACAAAACCGAAACAGUCAUAGACUUACCUAGACAACUACACUGAACACAACCCCAUCAAUCUAAUAAACCCCUAGACAAGACAAAACACAAUAAAUCCCCCAUGUCACACCCUGGCCUAACCAAAAUAAUAAAGACAACACAGAUAACUAAGGCCAGGGCGUGACACUAAGGAUAUAUAGUUUGAGGAUAUAUAAUAGAAAACACAGAUAACUAAGGCCAGGGCGUGACACUAAGGAUAUAUAGUUUGAGGAUAUAUAAUAGAAAACACAGAUAACUAAGGCCAGGGCGUGACACUAAGGAUAUAUAGUUUGAGGAUAUAUAAUAGAAAACACAGAUAACUAAGGCCAGGGCGUGACACUAAGGAUAUAUAGUUUGAGGAUAUAUAAU